rnacentral:rRNA from 1 species
UUCUCUCACUCACUCGCUCACAACGUGUUUGUUGUACAGACGGAGACAGUACCGUGGAAACCGAGGCUUUGGUAGAGGGAGAGGAGACAAUGUUGCUAGGUUCGAAGCUCCGGACGCUGGUAGCCGCUCCGGUUCCGGCAGCAACGAGUAUCACCGGUUCUUCCGGUUCUGACGGAUUGGGAUGCCCGGACCACCACCUCACCACAAGUUCCUUCCGCAGCUACGCAGACCUUCCCAUCGGUUCCCCUUCCCACAAAUGGUCAAACGGCUGUUCAUACCUCGUUUAGUCCCAUUCUAUGUAUGGCCCUCGUGGGGUCGGAGGAGUCUCAAAUCGCUAAGGGCCGGCAGCCUAUUUUUACGUUGUGACACCUAGCUUUGUCACACGCGGGGCUCGACGGUGGCGCGCAUUAAGGAUCUAGGGAGGCUCCCAUAAGACCAGUAAAGCGUAUGCUGAUAUUUAUUUGCCGCCGAGGGCACGAUUUUGGAUCGGCGGCGGAGGAGAAGGGAGCGAGCGAAAGUGAGGAGGGCGUCGGCGGAGGGAGGCAAGGAGCGAGAGUGACAGCUAGGGCAGAGGGGAUAGGAGGGGCAAGUAGGGAUCGGGCCGCGGCCGCCGCCGCUAGCGGCAAGGUUAGAGGUGCCGGGGAGGAAGAGGUGGCACCGGGCAAUGCAGUAGUCGUUGGAGAGCGGCCAGACCAAGCUCGGCGAGGCGCGGUGGGUCGGGGCUGGGGAAAGAAGGUUCGGCCGCGCCGGUGGCAACUGCCGCUCCUAGUUAUGGCCGGCGUCCUCCUCGUCCUCGCGCCGCCCUUCCUCCUCCUACUAGUCCCCUCCGGCGCGGUGGUAGGUGGCGGCCGACAGCUGUGGAGGACAAGCUGGUGUGUCUCCUUAGUGGCCUGGCAGCAGGAACGCAAGGAAGAGGAGGUCCUUCUUCUGCUGGGUUCCACUCGGUGGAAGCUAGGUAGAGCGCCUCAGUCGCCCCUGAGGUUGGACUCCGAGGUACCGCCGCCGGUCGCUCAAGUAUAGAGGGAGCUGCUCUCCUAUCCGAGGUCCAAACGCAGUGUCCCGCACAUCGAGGUGCCGAAGAAGUCCCGGUCGUAGUUCGACGGGAGACUCUGAUGCGGCGGCCGCAGCAGCAGCGGAAGAUGUGAAACCGCAGGCCAUGUACAGCUUGCUGCUCGACCUGAACUCAAGGAAUGUCUCCACGUACCCUCAUUCGAGCUCGACGUCUGCUCGAGUCUGAGGUAUCCUCCUCGCACAAGACGACGCGGAAAGGGUGGAGGAGCCGCGUGUCCCCCUACCGAUCGAGGCGCGUCGUCAUCCCCCAACUAGUGUUCUAUGAUUUCCUAAAGAGAUAAUCAUCUCCAGACUUCCAAGCUCUUCCCUGCUUUCUACUUCUUAAACGGACGUCUUUUAUAACUUGUUUUUCGAGGUCUACCGAAGGAUCCCCACUACGCGAAGUCUAACUCUAACCCUACAACCGAAAGAGAUUGGACGGAAGGAACUCAGACUUCAACCCAAGUGUUCGUUCGUCCGACAUCUCCUGUACCGUGACCGGCACAAGUUGGCACGGGACUUCGAAAGACCUCAUCCAGACACGGAGACACACACAGAAGAGAUUGAAGUAUAGCGACCUAGAUACCUAGUAAGACGUGCAACCCGAACAACGACCGACGAUCGGACCGAACAUUCUCCUACGAGGGGACGAGACUCAGGUUCUAUGACUCCCUUUCAGAUUGUAUAGGUCUCCGUGGUUAACCCUCUCCAUGUUGUAUACGUAAAGUUUCUCUUGACCUGAGGCGAUAAAGACUGAAGUGGUUCCAACUUUAAAAUUUAAGUCUUAAGUCUUGUAAGGGAAAUGGAAACACAUUUUACUGGAAUACUAGAAUGAGAUUUCCCUACUAGUUAAGUACAACAGAACGUAAAGUCAUCAUUUCGCAAUAUCCAUCCAACAAUCUCGUGUGAGACUUAAGGUGGUUAAAGAAAGGUACCGAAUAUACACUGGUUUACGAGGUCUAACAUAUACUGUAGGAAAACAAAUGUGUUCGAAUUGACAAAGGACACUCCGUCGAUGACUCUCACUACUUAUAUCGUAACGAACCGUCAACACGAAAUCAGUAACCAUACUAUCUUCGUAAUGUAUCACGUAACCACUAUUUUGAUAACAAGAGAGUUUGACCAUUAUAACUAGACAAGAGAACUUACUACAUUUGAAUUGCCUAGAAUACACAAAGCACUAUCAAGUGUUAUAAGAGAAUUAAUUGUAAGACUCAUAUUAUAGAAUUUGUUAAACCAAUCUUCAUUUGACCCUACUUUUGUACACAUCAAUUUAUACUUACGUAUACAAUAAAGCUCAAUUUAAAGUUAGGUGUAUGGCCGACAAUUCUUCAUAAUGUAAUAAAAAUAAAAGAGUUAACAUACCUUCACAAUCAAGAAAGGUCCAGAAACCUUAUUGUUAACAUGUAAAAGAAUAAGUACGAUAAACCUGGUUUAAACAUCUUAGCAAUUUCAGAGUCGAUCCUAAAAUUGGACCAAUGGACCAAGACGGAUUAGAAGAGAAAUAAAACCGAUACCAACAGCCACAUUUGAUCCUUGACCAAUAUACGUGUACAAAAAUUACAAAGUCUGCAUCAUAUAUCGUCUAUCAAACGAGACACGGUGAAAGGAAAAGGUAGAGAAGAAUGUCGGUUAUAUAUACAAAGAACACGGAUACCAACCACUCGAGUCUUUCUGUCGUUUGGUUUCCGUACAAUGUAUUAACACAUGACAAAACCAUUUCAGACGCACACACUUAAACUAAUACUCUCCGUUCUCACGGUACAACGUGCCCGGUUUAUAAAAGGGUGCGCACCAUCAAACAGUUGUAAAAAGGCUUUAGUGCUUACUUAAAAUUUUUGGUCUUAAAUUCUAUUUAUUCAUUUGGAUAUGUUUGUGUUUCUUUCAUUUACUCUUUGUCCUUUUUCUACCUUCUCUUGAAGUACCCGGCCGGGUUUUCAGUGUCGCCGCGAGGUGGUAACUCGGAUGGAAACUCUUCCGGCAACCCGUUCCGAUAAAGCCAGUAGAAGGACAGACUAUGUAUCCAGUUUGGAUCUUCCUAAAUGUGCAAGAGAGAGGCUGUAAAAGGAAACGAGUACGCUUAUGUAGCAGAAGAGCCGCGCCGCCGCGGCGGAACCUAGUCUGGAGACAACGCGGAGAAGCUAAUAGGGAAGCCUUGAGUCGAGGCCGCUGGUCCAGUGAUACCACCUUCUUCUCGAGGUCCAAGUGCCGAGCGGCCCAAGGCGAAGGGGGUGAUUGUCGACAGACGCUCGUGAACGGAUCCAGUUAAGUUGAAAUAGUGGAAUGGAAAGGACCUUUCUUCAACUAGCUGUUCCGUCGACUUGCCUCGGUGAAUAAUCAUACAAAUCAUCAAUACCGAGGCAUCAACCGAGAGGAAAUAAUACAAGAACCAGAAUAAUGAAGGAGAGGACAUAAGAGCGAAAACCAUAGCUUAAAGUACAGCUCACCGAUAGAAAACACGAGAAUACUUGCAAGAAUUGAACUACGACCGAAUAUGAACUACGAUCGAAUAUUAGACUACUGCUAUAACUCGAGGUG